ensembl:lncRNA novel transcript
GAAGCAGAUUUUCCCCCAGAGCAUCCAGAUAAGAACUCAGUCCACUCAACAUCUUCAGCUUUGUGAUAUUCCAGGCAUAUUGUGCUGAACUUCUGACUUACAGAACUAAUCCAGAAAGCCUGGAAGAUACUUUUCCAAGAAUUUAUUUUCUGUUUAGAUUCUACCCCUGAAAGUCAGUCCUGAAAGGAUUAUAAAAGCAAGAAAGAAACAUGGACUCUAAGAAUUAACAACAGUGUGGGAAGCCACGGAGGAGAUUUAUGACUACCCUAAAUUGGUUUGUGUUUGGAUGGAUGACUAUUUCCUGCUCUUUAUUACUAGAAAUUGGCAGCAACAUCUCAGAUUGGAUAAUGGUACUGGUGGAAUAAUUACCAGAAAGAAAAAAACAUCCCCACUAAAGUGAUGAAAACAUGUACAGAUUGUCCAACCUUUUGCUUUUGUACCACUUCCCCUUCCAGAUGUCAGGGUUGUGAUUUAUUUCUCCCUAAGAGUUUAAAAAUAAAACUCUCAUCAUAAAA